AAUGUAGAAAACAAUGAAAUGUAGAUGUUAUAUAGGCUCAUAUUAUCUGUUGUAUAACAAAUUUGGUUGUGCCAUCUACUUAUCUACCGAAGUUCCUAGCUCUUCCUCCUCAGUUCCUUUUCACAUCUUCCAAGAAUAUACAUCAUUUAGUUUUGAAUCAUGCAAUACUCAGGGGUUCCAGCCUGUAUUUGUUACAUUUUUAAGUAUCUCUUCUUUUCUAUUAAAUGUUGCUAGAAUUAAAUGUUUCUCUGAGAACUGUCCUUUCUUUCUUUCUUUCUUUCUUUCUUUCUUUCUUUCUUUCUUUCUUUCUUUCUUCCUUUCUCUCUCUCUUUCUAUGAAAUUUCACUCUGUCACCUAAUCCAUCUCAGGGUCCUUAAUUUAAUCACAUCAGCAAAAUUCCUUUAGCCAUGUAAAGUAACAUAUUCACAGAUUCCUGGAAUUAGAAUAUGGAUGCCGCCUCGGCCUCCCAAAACACUGGGCUUACAGCCACGAGCCACCGCAUCCAGCCUCCCUUCCUAAAAGAUGAGCUGGGCCGUGGCUCAAGCCUGUAAUCCCAGUACUUUGGGAGGCCGAGGCGGGCGGAUCUCGAGGUCAGGAGAUCGAGACCAUCCUGGCUAACACGGUGAAACCCCGUCUCUACUAAAAAUACAAAAAAUUAGCUGGGCGCCUAUAGUCCCAGCUACUCGGGAGGCUGAGGCAGGAGAAUGGCGUGAACCCGGGAGGCGGAGCUUGCAGUGAGCCGAGAUAGCGCCACUGCACUCCAGCCUGGGCAACAGAGCGAGA
rnacentral:lncRNA from 1 species